UGGGGAAUAUUGCACAAUGGGCGCAAGCCUGAUGCAGCCAUGCCGCGUGUGUGAAGAAGGCCUUCGGGUUGUAAAGCACUUUCAGCGAGGAGGAAGGUGGUGAGCUUAAUACGCUCAUCAAUUGACGUUACUCGCAGAAGAAGCACCGGCUAACUCCGUGCCAGCAGCCGCGGCAAUACGGAGGGUGCAAGCGUUAAUCGGAAUUACUGGGCGUAAAGCGCACGCAGGCGGUUUGUUAAGUCAGAUGUGAAAUCCCCGGGCUCAACCUGGGAACUGCAUUUGAAACUGGCAAGCUAGAGUCUCGUAGAGGGGGUAGAAUUCCAGGUGUAGCGGUGAAAUGCGUAGAGAUCUGGAGGAAUACCGGUGGCGAAGGCGGCCCCCUGGACGAAGACUGACGCUCAGGUGCGAAAGCGUGGGGAGCAAACAGGAUUAGAUACCCUGGUAGUCCACGCUGUAAACGAUGUCGAUUUUGGAGGUUGUGCCCUUGAGGCGUGGCUUCCGGAGCUAACGCGUUAAAUCGACCGCCUGGGGAGUACGGCCGCAAGGUUAAAACUCAAAUGAAUUGACGGGGUCAUAGCUGUUUCCU
rnacentral:rRNA from 1 species